rnacentral:rRNA from 1 species
GGUUAAGUGAAUAAGGGCGCACGGUGGAUGCCUUGGCACUAGAAGCCGAUGAAGGACGGGACUAACACCGAUAUGCUUCGGGGAGCUGUAAGUAAGCUAUGAUCCGGAGAUUUCCGAAUGGGGGAACCCAGUAUCUUUUAUAGGAUAUUAUCUAGUAGUGAAUACAUAGCUAUUAGAAGGUAGACGCAGAGAACUGAAACAUCUAAGUACCUGCAGGAAGAGAAAGAAAAAUCGAUUUCCUUAGUAGCGGCGAGCGAAACGGAAACAGCCCAAACCAAUAAGCUUGCUUAUUGGGGUUGUAGGACUCAAUUGUGGUAGCUGUUGUGGAUAGUCGAAUCGAUCUGGAAAGGUCAGCCGUAGCGGGUAAAAGCCCCGUAGAUGAAAUUGACAACACACCUAUGAGUAUCCUGAGUACGGCGGAACACGAGAAAUUCCGUCGGAAUCCGGGAGGACCAUCUCCCAAGGCUAAAUACUCUCUAGUGACCGAUAGUGAACCAGUACCGUGAGGGAAAGGUGAAAAGCACCCCGGAAGGGGAGUGAAAUAGAACCUGAAACCGUGUGCUUACAAGAAGUUAGAGCCCGUUAAUGGGUGAUAGCGUGCCUUUUGCAGAAUGAACCGGCGAGUUACGAUAGCAUGCGAGGUUAAGCUGAAGAAGCGGAGCCGUAGCGAAAGCGAGUCUGAAUAGGGCGAAUGAGUAUGUUGUCGUAGACCCGAAACCAUGUGACCUACCCAUGUCCAGGUUGAAGGUGUGGUAAAACGCACUGGAGGACCGAACCCACGUACGUUGAAAAGUGCGGGGAUGAGGUGUGGGUAGCGGAGAAAUUCCAAACGAACUUGGAGAUAGCUGGUUCUCUCCGAAAUAGCUUUAGGGCUAGCCUCGGAUUUGAGAAUGAUGGAGGUAGAGCACUGUUUGGACUAGGGGCCCGUCUUGGGUUACCGAAUUCAGAUAAACUCCGAAUGCCAUUCAUUUAUAUCCGGGAGUCAGACAGUGAGUGAUAAGAUCCAUUGUCGAAAGGGAAACAGCCCAGACCACCAGCUAAGGUCCCAAAAUACAUGUUAAGUGGAAAAGGAUGUGAGGGUGCACAAACAACUAGGAUGUUGGCUCAGAAGCAGCCACCAUUUAAAGAGUGCGUAAUAGCUCACUAGUCGAGUGCCCUUGCGCCGAAAAUGUACCGGGGCUAAACAUGUUACCGAAGCUGUGGAUAGAACCUUUGGUUCUAUGGUAGGAGAGCGUUCUAAGGGCGUUGAAGCUGGAUCGUAAGGACUGGUGGAGCGCUUAGAAGUGAGAAUGCCGGUAUGAGUAGCGAAAGACAGGUGAGAAUCCUGUCCACCGAAUGACUAAGGUUUCCUGGGGAAGGCUCGUCCUCCCAGGGUUAGUCGGGACCUAAGCUGAGGCCGAUAGGCGUAAGCGAUGGACAACAGGUUGAGAUUCCUGUACUCGUUUGUUUUGUUUGAACAAUGGAGGGACACAGGAGGCUAUGAGAUCGUGCGACUGGAAGUGCACGUUCAAGCAACAAGUUUUGAUAAGAGUCAAAUGCUUUUAUCUUUAAGAACAAGUUGUGAUGAGUAGGGAAAUAGAGUACCGAAGUCUCAAUGUCACACUGUCAAGAAAAGCUUCUAGUUAGAAACAAAUGACCCGUACCGCAAACCGACACAGGUAGUCGAGGAGAGAAUCCUAAGGUGAGAGAGAACUCUCGUUAAGGAACUCGGCAAAAUGACCCCGUAACUUCGGGAGAAGGGGUGCUGAACGCAAGUUCAGCCGCAGUGAAUAGGCCCAAGCGACUGUUUAUCAAAAACACAGGUCUCUGCAAAAUCGAAAGAUGACGUAUAGGGGCUGACGCCUGCCCGGUGCUGGAAGGUUAAGAGGAUGGGUUAGCAAUAGCGAAGCUCAAAAUUGAAGCCCCAGUAAACGGCGGCCGUAACUAUAACGGUCCUAAGGUAGCGAAAUUCCUUGUCGGGUAAGUUCCGACCCGCACGAAAGGCGUAACGAUUUGGGCACUGUCUCAACGAGAGACUCGGUGAAAUUUUAGUACCUGUGAAGAUGCAGGUUACCCGCGACAGGACGGAAAGACCCCAUGGAGCUUUACUGUAGUUUGAUAUUGAAUGUUUGUAACACAUGUACAGGAUAGGUAGGAGCCGUAGAAAUCGGAACGCUAGUUUCGAUGGAGGCGCUGGUGGGAUACUACCCUUGUGUUAUGACCAUUCUAACCCGCACCACUUAUCGUGGUGGGAGACAGUGUCAGAUGGACAGUUUGACUGGGGCGGUCGCCUCCCAAAAGGUAACGGAGGCGCCCAAAGGUUCCCUCAGAAUGGUUGGAAAUCAUUCGUAGAGUGCAAAGGCAGAAGGGAGCUUGACUGCGAGAGUUACAACUCGAGCAGGGACGAAAGUCGGGCUUAGUGAUCCGGUGGUUCCGCAUGGAAGGGCCAUCGCUCAACGGAUAAAAGCUACCCUGGGGAUAACAGGCUUAUCUCCCCCAAGAGUUCACAUCGACGGGGAGGUUUGGCACCUCGAUGUCGGCUCGUCGCAUCCUGGGGCUGUAGUCGGUCCCAAGGGUUGGGCUGUUCGCCCAUUAAAGCGGCACGCGAGCUGGGUUCAGAACGUCGUGAGACAGUUCGGUCCCUAUCCGUCGCGGGCGUUGGAAAUUUGAGAGGAGCUGUCCUUAGUACGAGAGGACCGGGAUGGACAUACCUCUGGUGUACCAGUUGUUCUGCCAAGGGCAUUGCUGGGUAGCUAUGUAUGGACGGGAUAAACGCUGAAAGCAUCUAAGCGUGAAGCCCCCCUCAAGAUGAGAUUUCCCAUUCCUUUAAGGAAGUAAGACCCCUGAAAGAUGAUCAGGUAGAUAGGCUAGAAGUGGAAGUACAGUGAUGUAUGGAGCGGACUAGUACUAAUCGGUCGAGGACUUAACCAA